UUACGGCUAUUUCACGCUGAAACACUGGCUCUCGUACGAUCACAGAUGUUAAGCAACGUCAAGCCUGGUCAAUAUCUAAAUGGGGGACCGCUUGGGAACACCAGGUGCUGUAAG